UUAAAGACAUUGAUCAGAAGGGUAACACGCAUUAAAUUACAGAGAGCUUGAGAUUGCUGGAAAUCAAGUGUUUAGGCGUAUUGCUUCACAUCUGUAAGUCAUUUUUCUGAAACAAGUAGGAAAAAGCGGUGAGCACGUUAUUGCUGAAGUUUAGUAUCUAAACUCCUUGAGGUUUUUUGCAUGAGCAAAGAACAAAGCUGAGGUGGAACCGCGAUCAAUAAUCGUCCUCUUA
rnacentral:ncRNA from 1 species